rnacentral:rRNA from 1 species
AACGAACGCUGGCGGCAGGCCUAACACAUGCAAGUCGAGCGAGGACUUCGGUUCUAGCGGCGGACGGGUGAGUAACGCGUGGGAAUGUGCCCUUCUCUACGGAAUAGCCCUGGGAAACUGGGAGUAAUACCGUAUACGCCCUAUUGGGGAAAGAUUUAUCGGAGAAGGAUCAGCCCGAGUUGGAUUAGGUAGUUGGUGGGGUAAUGGCCUACCAAGCCGACGAUCCAUAGCUGGUUUGAGAGGAUGAUCAGCCACACUGGGACUGAGACACGGCCCAGACUCCUACGGGAGGCAGCAGUGGGGAAUCUUAGACAAUGGGGGCAACCCUGAUCUAGCCAUGCCGCGUGAGUGAUGAAGGCCUUAGGGUUGUAAAGCUCUUUCAGCUGGGAAGAUAAUGACGGUACCAGCAGAAGAAGCCCCGGCUAACUCCGUG